AACGAACGCUGGCGGCGCGCCUAAUACAUGCAAGUCGAGCGAGAAGACGUAGCAAUACGUUUGUAAAGCGGCGAACGGGUGAGGAAUACAUGGGUAACCUACCCUCGAGUGGGGAAGUAACUAGCCGAAGGUUAGCUAACACCGCGUACGCUCCUUGGACUUCGGUUCAGGGAGGAAAGCGAUACCGUGGGUAUCGCGCUCUUGGAUGGGCGUCAUGUCCUAUCAGCUUGUUGGUGAGGUAACGGCUCACCAAGGCUUCGACGGGUAGGCUGGUCUGAGAGGACGAUCAGCCACACUGGCACUGCGACACGGGCCAGACUCCUACGGGAGGCAGCAGUAAGGAAUAUUGCGCAAUGGGCGAAAGCCUGACGCAGCGACGCCG
rnacentral:rRNA from 1 species